GCCUCCGUAGCUCAGGGGAUAGAGCACCGCUCUCCUAAAGCGGGUGUCGCAUGUUCGAAUCAUGCCGGGGGCACC
rnacentral:tRNA from 1 species